GAUGAACGCUGGCGGCGUGCCUAAUACAUGCAAGUCGAACGCAUUGAGAAAAGUGCUUGCACUUUUCAAUUUGAGUGGCGAACGGGUGAGUAACACGUGGACAACCUACCUGAUAGCGGGGGAUAACGAGUGGAAACAUUCGCUAAUACCGCAUAACAAUAGAGAAGGCAUCUUCUUUAUUUAAAAGGCGCUUUCAAGCGUCACUAUCAGAUGGGCCCGCGGUGCAUUAGUUAGUUGGUGGGGUGAAGGCCCACCAAGACGAUGAUGCAUAGCCGAGUUGAGAGACUGAUCGGCCACAUUGGGACUGAGACACGGCCCAAACUCCUACGGGAGGCUGCAGUAGGGAAUCUUCCACAAUGGACGAAAGUCUGAUGGAGCAACGCCGCGUGUGUGAUGAAGGCUUUCGGGUCGUAAAGCACUGUUGUAUGGGAAGAAAUGCUAGGCUAGGAAAUGAGCUUAGUUUGACGGUACCAUACCAGAAAGGGACGGCUAAAUACGUGCCAGCCGCCGCGGUAA
rnacentral:rRNA from 1 species